rnacentral:tRNA from 1 species
GGGAUAUAGCUCAAUGGUAGAGUGCUUGUGUAGCAUGCAUGAAGCCUUGUGUUCAAUCCCUAGUACCACCA